CCCCUUAUCUCUGUUGCUUUGCAUAAUAUGUCGAAUGUGUCAAAACAAGUUACAUUGCUCGAGACGAGUAUGCGGCAGCAUCCCCCUGUGGCAUAUCCUUCCCCCGCCCACCUGUGCGUGGGUAUUACCGGCCGAUUUAAUGAUGUCAUGAGGCGUGUGCUCUCGCUGAGCAGCCAGAGGAGAAAACUGCGGGCGCUUGAGGCAAAGAAAUUGCGUUUGAUCAAACAAUUGGCUGCGAUGAAUAGCCAGGAGUUGGAUUGACAGAAACUCCAAUGUUGCUGAGGGGCUUCGGUGCUGCAAGAGCGAUAAAGUUAUUUGGAUGCCUGCAAAAUUCUCUGUGUGAAAAAUGUCCAAGGGUUUCGAGUACAUAAUGGUCUGGAGUUGGUCUCAGCUGCUCCAUUCUGUAAAUUCAUUAAAAAUUAAUGAGUUUUGAAAGUGCGUUGUAAAUUCUCGUUCAUUUGGGUUGCCUUACAGUAUUACAGCUGCUUCAACACCAAAGAAAAUUCU